UUAUUUCUGGAACGCUCUGGCAUGCAGUAGUCAAUCAGACAGCAAACAAACAAAGUCAGCACUGGGAGCAACCGCCUCCCAGCACUCUAAAUAGACGCCUCCCAGCCGGCCCCAUCCCCUACCCACCUAGCCAGCAUCUGGUGUGAGCGCCGGUAUGGCAGCAAGGCAAGGAAGCGAGGCAGGAUCUCAACUCCCCACCGUUUCUCUGCAUCGAUCAGCUGCUCAGCAGGAUGGCCUCGUGGCUGCGUUCUGCAGGGUCCCCCUCCCAGCAUACAAAUAUUCAUGGAUAAGCUGAGAAUUUUUGGUGCCAACAGACUCCCGAAAAAUGGCUUUGGCAUAUCCACGGAUGGGCUUAUCUACAGCUCCUGGCACAGCCCAGCUGCUCUCAGUAUUAAUUCUAAAGGUCUUCCUGAAAGAUUCAAAGAGAAGAGAUCUUUUUAUAACUACCACCCCUUUAAUGAAGAGACCCAGUGGGAUGCAACCUAUGUUUCUAUAUUCUGAAGGACCUCUUGGAAGUUACUGACUUUGAAUUUAAACAAGUUAAGCUUACUUCUAAUAGGUUUAGGUAAUCAGUGGUCAACCCAUGAUGUUCCUAUCACUACAAUUGCAGAAAGGAAAAUUAAAAUAGUAGAAGCAUAUCUUACCAUCUUCAGAUAUGAAACACAGAAAUCCCCAGGGAAAGCUUUGAAAUUCAACAUGAGUUUAAAAAACAAAAUUCGUCCAAACCCCUAGUCCUGGUGUAUAUGUGUGUGUUGUGUUCAUUAUGCACAGUCAUAACUUAUACUUUGCAAUUCUGUCCAAACCGUAUCACUUGCUAUCUUCCUUGGAUUUUUAGUGUAGCCACAGCUGCAAUACUAAGUCAAACGCUGUGUGUGU